rnacentral:rRNA from 1 species
UGGGGAAUUUUACGCAAUGGGCGAAAGCCUGACGUAGCGACACCGCGUGAGCGAAGAAGCCUUUUGGGGUGUAAAGCUCUGUCAGCUGGAACGAACACAAUGACGGUACCAGCAGAGGAAGCAUCGGCUAACUACGUGCCAGCAGCCGCGGUAAGACGUAGGAUGCAAGCGUUGUCCGGAUUUAUUGGGCGUAAAGAGUUCGUAGGCGGUUAGUUAAGUCUGGUGUUAAAUCCCGUGGCCCAACCACGGAGCUGCAUCAGAUACUGGCUAACUUGAGUGCGGUAGAGGCGAGUGGAAUUCCCAGUGUAGCGGUGAAAUGCGUAGAUAUUGGGAAGAACACCAGUGGCGUA